CGUCCCGGGGGAGGGCGAGCGCCGAGGUUCCCGAGUGGCAACGGCCGGGUCCCAGUCCUGCGGGGGCCAAAGGGAAGCCCGGCGGGCGGGGGACGGGACCCUGACACUCCUCUACGGACUGACCGGGUAGACGAAAAGGUAACAGCCGCCCAGGCGCCCGCCCGCCCCGGCCAGGGCCGCCUCUGCCAUGGGGGCUCCCCGUGGCGUGCUGGUUCCGAAAUUCGGCCGGAGCGCGCGGCUCCUUCGCCGGGACCCGGGGGGAAGCGGCCACUGCGGCGAAGCCCGCCCCCUCCUCGACGUGCUGGCACCCCCUGACGGGAGAAUCGCUGCCUUCUCUCUGCGGGGGAACGUGCCUACUCGCCACGGACCCUUCCCACCCUCUUGAGUCAGCUGUGACUAAGAGGUGCACAGCCUACGAAUUCACCUGUUCUGCACAUUAGUUAAUGCUCAUCAAGCUGCACAGAAUGGAACUUCUUUUUUUCAUGGACUCCUGAUAGUGACGCCAUGCCCCUGGACCUCAUCAUCCGUCUGCCGCCAUCUGUUGGUAUGUGCAAGCUACAAGAGUUGACCUGUUCACACUUCCCUGCCAGGAACCUCGUGUGUUGGUAUCACCUUUGUCAUCACUUUUGUUAUUGCUUACUUCAGGGAAAUUAAUGUGCUGGCUAGUGACAUUUUCACUUCCCAUUUUAGGACUUUUGGGUGUGAUGUGUUUUUAAAAAGCCUAUCCAGUAUAUUAAUAAUGGACAAGGGAUGGCGUCAUGCAAGCACACAGGGCCUUGAAGACCAAGGUCUCAGGGGAUUCAGAAGAGCAAAUUAUAGAGUACAUUUUAUGACUUGGAAAGGGAACAGAUACUAUAAUGAAUUUUUAAGUUAGCAAUUUGUUUAGUCUCCUGAGGCCCUGGCAGUUUGCUGAGGUUAUGGGGGUAAAAGCACCUGCAGAGAGGAAUUUCUCAGUCAGAACCAACAUUUAAAGUAGUGGUGUGUUAAUGCUUAAAAAGAAGUCCUGCAUACAUUUUUUAUAACUUCUAGCGUUUGCAGCUGGAUCUAACGAAGGACGCUCCGAGAAGUUGAGCCAGCUUGCCAUUGUCCAGGCUCCACUUUACAUUAUUUAUGUUCUUUCCAAUACAGCCUAUGGCACAUUCUUAAAUUAAAGACAGCUUUGCUAAAAGUACUAGGGCCUGAAUGGAGGCAUGUGGCAAAUGCCAUGGAGUCUCUACCUUUUUUUUUUUUUUUUAAACCCUGCUGUUCUUAUUAAGGAAUACUCAGUGACUUAACUUAAAAUUAGGCACAUUUUUGAAGGAUUCUGAUUUCAUGGGGCUGCUCUUCAAGUGAGGAACUAUUAUGUGAUUAGUGUUUGAUUGAAUGUUCAAAGAGGAAAGUUUCUAUUGCAGUGUCAAGUGGAGAUGUGUCAUAAAGAAUUGGAUCAGAGCUCAAAGGUAAAUUGAAGAUUCCAUGAAUUUUUAUGAUCUAGGCACAGAGUAAUUUAAGUUUAAAAAGAGAAACCAAGUAUUUUGGCACUCUUCAGCAAUAGGCUAAAGAGGUUAUGACCUAAAUUCAAAUGUAGUCCUGUAGACCAUUGUUUUCUAUGGCACCAGAAAUCUGGAAAUAAGAAAUUCAUAUUCUGGAGUUCCCAGGGGGCUUGAGUUGCAAAUGCAGACCUAUUAACAUUGUUGCCCAAAUCAUGGGAAACCUUGGCCUCCAUUUUAUCCCCUCCUGAAACAUUUCUUCUUAUUUCAGGCAUCCCCAAGGUGGUGUCUGCUUGUGUUCAGAAGUUUAUGCACGCACAUUUUUCUCUUGCUUCUUCACCGAGCUCCUUCUGCUGCCCUGGGAGCAUUGCUGGGCAUAGGGCUGGUUCUACAGGGUGGUCUCUCAGUCUGUUGUGGGAUGUAAAGGGCUUCCUCUCCAUGCCCUUCAGGUUCAUGGUUAGACCUUCUCUUCAUCACGGUUUGAAAUCAGAGCCGUGUGCCUAUGAAGGGGGCAGUCUCUACCCCAUUCCACUUCUCUCCUUGUCUUCCUCUUCUGGGUGCCCUCCUAACCUGGAAAAGAACAGCUUUUUCUUCCAUCAGAGAAUGAUCUUUUUGAUGACUAAUUCGGUGCAGAUUGCUUUUCACAAAGAUCUCUAGGCCACCAGUUCUGCAAACUAGAUUGCAGACAAUUUAGUUUGGAUACGGGACACCCUGCUGCAAAUGCAGUUUUACUUGAAAAACAGGAAAUGUAAGGAACUGUGGGAGAACACUCGUCAGUGCAAUAGUGAAUGUUCAGACAAGCUUAAAUGACAAACAGGAACAUGUUCUGAGAAACAUGAGUACCUUUUGAUUGACCUUUGAGAUUUUCUGCUGGCCACGAUAGACCCUUAUUUGGUUAUUCUCCAUUCCUUUGUGCUGCAACUGCACAUAUAGAAAAGAUAAAGAUGGAAGAAACUUAAAAAUGGAACAUUCAGUAUUUCUGCUCUAAAGAAAUAACUCCUAAAAAAUUAUCUAUCAUAAGUAACUCCUUUUCCCGUGUGUAUUCCUUCUCUCUCUCUGUACAUAUACAUACAGUCAUUCUGUAUGUUGUGUAAUAGAUCUUGCUUUUUCUCACUUUAUUGGCAUACAUAGAUAUACCUCAUUUUUUACAGGUAUAUUGUAUGAUAUAUCGUUGUAUUAUAAUCUCAUCAACUAGCCACUCAUUUGUGGACAUUAGAAUUAUGAAAUAUUAUAUUUACAAAUAAAAUAGUGUCACAUAAUUAUCUGUUAUAAGUAACAAUUGAAUGCCCACCAAUGUCACUGUGCAUUUUUUACCAGACUCAAGUCUGAAUACUUUCUGUUCUGAUGAUACUCAUCAAUGUUCACAUCAGGAAAGAACCCUGAAGAAGGAUCUUGUUUAUACUUAUUCCGUCUAAGUAAAUCAUUUCUGUGUUUUAAGUCUAGAUUCACUAAGUCAUUAGUGUUCAAGUGUAGUCAAGACCAUAAUUCACUUCAAAACUUGCUUGGGAUUUUGCAGUUUUACAGUUCAUAGCAAGAAAGAGGCCAAUUCAAUACUUUCUAAUAACGAAUAUUUUAAAUCACUGUCCUAUUUAGGAGGGAAAUGAUUAUUCUUUGUUAUACAAUAGAAGGAGAACUAUGGUGAAUUAAUUUUCUAAUUCUUUUUUUCCACUCUGUUGUGCCUGUACUGCUAGCCCCUCCCUAACUCUGGACAUGAAAAAUGCCUCAUACUCGCUUCCAACAUGGGCCAUCACCACCACGGUCAGCAGGAGAGGAAUGUGGUUCUGUAACCCCAUAUUGUUCAACCUAAUGCGGAUACCAGGCCUCCCUGUGGGCUCAUCAGGAUUAAUCCUGUUGUGCUUCACAUACCCCAGAAGGCCACAUCCCCAUGCUUCCAUAUUGCCUGUAGUCUCUGUUACUGUUCUCUACCUCCACUCAUCAGACCCAAUUUCUUCCUCUUCCCCAACCUCCCACACUCUUCCCCAGGCCAUUUGGAAUUUAUGGGCUGUCACAGCAAACCCUCCAGAUCCCCAGCUACUGCUUAGAAUGUCCUCUUCACUUGCUUGACCUAACUGAAACCUGGGUGCUUGCUACGGAUAUUACCUCCCUGCAGUCGUCUCCAAUCGGGAAGCAGCUUAUUAUCGAUAUUCUCUUAUCAUUGUCACUAUUACUAUCCAUAAUGCAAGCACUAGAGGCCCUGGAGAUUGGGGUGAGUGUCCGUCUUGCACCCCGUUCAUCUCUCUUCCUUCUUCCUUCAAACACCCAGCUCCUUCGGACUUUAUGCCUUCAGACUUUACCACCCCUCGGUGUUGCUGUAUCUGCAGCCUGUAGACCCCCCUCAUUCACGGCUGACCAGCCUGCCUCACUGUCCUCCUGUCACAAGUCCCUGGCAUCUUUUCUGGAGGUUUUUGCCUCCAGCAUCUUGGCUUCUUUGAUCCCGAAUUGUUCUUUCUGCCUCAGCCACCACUCCUGCUGUCUAUACUUCGGCAUUCCUGGUAUCCAUAACUGGACUAGGUCUACAUCUUGACUUCGAGUUCCCGCCUCUGGACCAGCAUCUCCCAUGCUUCCCGCCUGCCUGUUCUAGUCCUCGCAACCAGCAGUCCCUCAGGCGUCUGGCCCUUUAAUUCAUUGAACUUUCUCUCAUUUUUUUUCUUUAACUAUUAUUGUUCCUGCUUUUAUUGUUGGUUCCCUCCAUAUUCAGCUUAGGACCUCCAUUCUCACUAGAAUCACACCCCUUCAGAUAUCCUCUCGCUCUUCUGUCUCCCUCCCCCUCUCAAGCCUGAGCCUGAACAGCUAAAUAAUGUGGAGAAAAAGCACUCAGGCGUGUUAGCCAGCCUCUCUUUAAAUUCUUGGCUACUGCACCAUAAUGUAUUUUAUUUCCUCAGUAUAUUAGCUUCCUCCCUCCCUAAUGUGACCAUUUCAAUUCCUUUCCUCUCUCCUAAAUUCUUCUCCUCACUUAGAUUCAUUUGAUAAUCUUGCCCCGUGUACUGCUUAAUAAAGACACAAGAUGAAGCAGGAAGCCCCUCUUCAUCAUCGCCAGUCCUGCAGAGAGCUUCCCUCUCUCUGUAACUGGAGUUUCCCUUUCACUCCAUCUCUGCGGAUGAAGCAUCCCCGAGAGUAUUGAAAACACCAGUCUGUCCUCUGGUACCGGGCUCCUGUCCCUUCGCACUUCUUGGGGACAGGGCUCCCACAGUAGUUUGUCUUUGCGGCUCAGUACAGGGGACAUGAGACAGACUUGCCUGAGCGUGAGUCUCGGCUCUGCCACCUCCCAAGUGUAUGAUGGGACAUCCGUCUUCUUCACCUGACCCUUCUGUUAAGGUUAUCGACUUCUCAGAGUCAUGCAGAUUAAAAGGGAGGAUUUAGUGACCUGCUUAGGACAGGGCGAGGCUCACAGCGAAGGCUGUGUCUGCCUGAGCUGGCCC